GAAGCCAAGCAGCGGCACACACACACAACGCAUUCUGCCGGUCAAAUUUCCCAACCAAGUUCCUCCGUCCCAAACCCUAGCUUCCAUGGUACAAUCGGCACCCAGCUCCCCCACCCCCGCCCCCAAAGCCGACCACCCCUCCCCGCCGUCCCGCCUCCUCUCCAAGCAUCGCCCGCGCCGCCGUGCCGCGCCCCCACGGCAGACCCCGCCGCCCCCCGCGCCCACACGCGGCCAGCCCGACCUAAACCUCUGCCGAUGCUGCGGCGCACGCUUUCCGCCGCCGCCGCCGGGCGCUAAGCCUCGCCCUGUCCGUGCUCUCCGCUCCGUCUGGCGCAUCGUCCUCCUCUGCUCAGAAUGUCUCCCCCUCAUUCGCUCUGCCGUCGUCUGCUCCUACUGCCUCUCCUUGGACAACCUCCCGCCAGAGGACUCCUCAGUCACAUGCCGCAGCUGCAACCGCUGCGUCCACCGCCAUUGCAUCCCCUCUGAGCACCGUACUGCCCUGAUCCAGCCUGUCGAUUUGGAGAAUUUCGUCUGCGUCGAUUGCUGCCCCACCCUGAAGCCAGGUAGCAAGAAUGUGUGUGCCAGGGAGCCCACAUCUUCAGUGCGUGGUAAGGGGGAGGCCGUCACUGUGUCUAAAUUGAAUUCCCCAGGGAAGACUGUGCCAGCUUCAAAGCGUGCCAAGGAGGCGACGGUCCUCAUUGCUGGAGCUGAGGGGUCAGGAAGCAAGGGCACCAGUGAUCCGGACCUGCCAGAUGAGAAGUUGGCAUUACAGCUGCAUCUGGCGAUGAACGGGUCACAGAGGAUUUCACGUUCUAGUAGUGCAUCCUGGGCAGCCUCAGGUGGGAAGGGCAAGGGGCAGAAAGUUGUGGUUUCUGCUACGAAUGCUAAUGGGGAUCAGGGGCUUUGUGUAACCAAUAUGAUGUAUGAGCUGGAGGAUGAUUUGUCUGGAGCAGAGAUGGGAGACAACUCGGAUGCAGAGCAUGAUACACUAUUAGAUCCCUCAGUCACAGUGGUUCUUGCACUGGAGUGUAAAGGUAAACAAUCUCAGGAGAGAAUGAGAGGUAAAAGGAAAGGUCCUCCUGGGACUAAUCAUAAUGAUGUGGUGGAUCGGUAUAAGAAGAAGUAUACCAAGAGGAACUCUAGUAAGAACGCAAAGGUUAUAAGUACUGGGAGCAAGACCAUGCCUGAUGGAAAGGACAUGGACCGUGAUGAUGGUGGUAAAGCAUAGCCACCAUGAUAUAGAAUGCAUCUUCUAUUUGAAGGUAACUGGUUUGCGGGAACCUCUAUUUUUUCCGCAUCUAUUUAUAUAUCCAUUUUAUAAAGGAUAAUUUCCAUUCCUUCGACGGGGAUGAUGCCUGACCGCCUCUGUGGUGCCACCGCAAGAACUCCCCCCCUCCCCCUUCGCUUCCACCAGGAAAAUCAAACUGGUACCACCACCAGAGUUGCAUCUGAUUUGAAAUCUUGUUUCUUGGUCUUCCAAACACACAGUUAGUCUAUGUACUCAUGACGUACACUUAUUCCCCGCAAUCACAUCAAGGUAAAUCUUACUUUUGAAAGCAAUCAUUCACAAAAAUAAGCCUAUUUGCAUAUCUGCAUGCACAUUCAGUUAAUAAUUGUGAGUAGUUUAUUACUCCCUCCUAUCCUAAAUUGUUGCCGUUUGCUUCAUAUACUAAAACAACGACAACAAUUACUUCGUACUAAAACAACGACAACAAUUUAGGAUCGGAGGUAGUACUUGCUAGUGUGUUUUCUAGUCAGUGGCCAAAUUAAGCGUCUAUUAUUUUCUAGGGCACUUUGCUGUGAUCUUUUCGUGAGUGCUUGAACAAUGAGAAUGGAAGUUCAGUUACAAGGAUAAGAAGUGGUAGAUAUUCGACAGGGAGGGUAUUUUGAGUGCUUAUCAGGUCGUUAUGUUAGCAUGUUUGCCCACAUCAAAAUCUAGUGCAUCCUGAUUUUAUAUGACCCACAGGCCACAGCAGGUUUGCACACAGUAGAAAUUGCUAGUUGGUGUGGGUCUGGCCAUGAACGAACUUUUCAGGUUUACAUGCGCACCACUUAGAGUUUGAAUCAUUAGGGGGUUUCCCAUUAUUAGCCAGGGAGCUGCAUCUUGAACAAGUCCUAUGUUGGAACAGCAAGGCAGCCAGAAAAGGCACGUCUUUUCCCCUUUUACGAUUAGUGACUUUGAAACGCAACAGUUGCAGUGGCGGGUGGCAAUAGACCAGGUAAUGAUGCUUUUCUGAACCAUUUUGAUUUCUUGCUGAUUAAAGUUGCUUUGUGGAAGGAGUCAUGCCAUGACAUAUAUGCACACGGGCACUUCCUUCUGUCAGAUCUCUGCCUAACAUAUUGCUGUCAAAAAAAUUUAGUGCAUGACAGGACCUGAAUGAAAUCUUGUUUGCAGGGAAAGUUGGAACACCAUAACUGUUGGCUGGCAUGCCUUUUCUUGUUACUAGAUUUGCAAAAAGCCUCGUAGCUGCUUGCCUUCAGUGCCCACCGACCAUGGAGGCACACACCCUGAGUGGUGGGCCAACUAUUCACCCUUUUCCACUUGGGUUCAGCACUCUAUGAUUUGUAGGUCCCACCACCAGCCAUUCUCCAAACUCUAAGGCGAGAGCUUUGAAUUUUUAUACCAUCGUCAGUUUGAACCGAAUCACAGUGAAGUGGUGUUAUGGCAGCCUUAGAAGAAAUAGUACUGUCAUUCUAAGCUAACAGGGAAAUAAAUGAAAUUUAAUCAAGCAUUCACUGGAUCGAUAAUGGUUCUAAUUUAGGAUAUUAGCUUCUGUAAUAGCUUAUACUACCACUACUGUCAUUUAGUAGUACUACAAAGGUUGCUCGGGUUUGUCUGUAACUCAUGCUGUAAUGCAGUAUUUUGGAAGGCAUCUAAUACACCAUUCUUUCGACUGAACAUUGAACAUUCUAAUGUAUUAAUUUCUUGACCAGUUGUUGAUGGAUGUUGUGUGGCUGGUCUGCUGGAGAAGGACUAGGGGGAGAGGAACUAUGCUGAACUGGUGGCAGGGAUGGUUACACUCACACCAUAACGUGGCCAUCGUUCAUCCUGGUGCCACGAUGUCAGGUGUUGUAGUCAUUGCUUGGAGUUGUCUUUUGUAGGGUUUUGUUACUAGCCUAAUUUAGAUGAUCUGAAGACAUGCUUUAGUUUUGUGUGUUUUUGUUGCCACUUGUCAGCUCUUCAUAGCGUCCAGUGCCUGAUAUGUUUAUCAGCUUUACUUAUAUCUCCUGCAAUGAAGUCUUUUGUUUCAGGAUCUCAUGGUAGUUCCAGUGCCCAGUUUUGUGUAAAAUUUAUGCCCAUCUCCGGAGUCUUGGUAUCCUUAACGGUGCUCCAAGAGAUACUUCUUAAAAGGUGCGGCAUUUGAUAGGAAGGCAACACAGAUCGCUCUCUAAAUCUCAGAUUGCUACUAGCUGAGAGUAGAGUACUGGUGUUGCUUCCAAAUAAAGGUGGCUACACUAAAAACAACGGCUGCUGGUUUCAAGAUAAAGGAUCGUACUCACAGGUAUCCCGUUUCAAGAAAGACAAGCUAAGAACCUCCCACAAAAGGAGGAGCAAGGAGGUUGGGGAUUCCAAGGCCACAUGCUGCGGCUGGCUACCAAUCCUCAUCAAAUAAACAAGGAAGAGAAUUUCGUCGGGACGUGUUGAUUUCCGUUCUGUUAGCUUGGACAAGUUUGUGGCUGCUGUACUGCACUAUGGAAGCACCUUUCUAUGGUUUAUCCUAUUUUGGAAAUCUUAUUCCUUAUCUUUUCUAAUUCGAGCAAGGACUUGGCUCAUACAACUCUGGAAAUCCAUGUCAAUGCAAAAUUGCAAAGUGGAGCUUCUAUUUUUUUUUUAGAA